rnacentral:other from 1 species
AGGAUCCUGAUGUGUGCGUGUAACCGAAGCGUUUUGUAACCUAACACCUACUAAAAGGGAACUCUAUAUUGCUAAGCAGGAUUUCGGUGAUGCGCAUCCGUUUCCUCCUUAGUUGCGAGCACCCACCUGCCGGAGCGCAGGUUCAAAACCGAGGUUCACGGCAUAUUGGGACCUUU